ACCUGUUUGGCUCAGUGGAUAGAGCGUUGGCCUGAGGACUCAAGGGCACCAGGUUCGAUUCCUGUCAAGGGCA
rfam:Myotis davidii contig199997, whole genome shotgun sequence.